rnacentral:rRNA from 1 species
AUGCACGCUGGCGGCGUGCCUCAUCCCUGCCAGUCGCGCGAACAGGCGAGGAGCUUGCUCCUCUGACGUUAGCGGCGGACGGGUGAGUAACACGUGGAUAACCUACCUAUAAGACUGGGAUAACUUCGGGAAACCGGAGCUAAUACCGGAUAAUAUAUUGAACCGCAUGGUUCAAUAGUGAAAGACGGUUUUGCUGUCACUUAUAGAUGGAUCCGCGCCGCAUUAGCUAGUUGGUAAGGUAACGGCUUACCAAGGCAACGAUGCGUAGCCGACCUGAGAGGGUGAUCGGCCACACUGGAACUGAGACACGGUCCAGACUCCUACGGGAGGCAGCAGUAGGGAAUCUUCCGCAAUGGGCGAAAGCCUGACGGAGCAACGCCGCGUGAGUGAUGAAGGUCUUCGGAUCGUAAAACUCUGUUAUUAGGGAAGAACAAAUGUGUAAGUAACUAUGCACGUCUUGACGGUACCUAAUCAGAAAGCCACGGCUAACUACGUG